rnacentral:tRNA from 1 species
GUGGCCGUAGCUCAAGGGCAGAGCACCAGACUGUGGCUCUGGGGGUUGGGGGUUCAAAUCCCCUCGGCCACCCCA